AAGACAAAAUUUCUUUAAAUAUCAGGUCUGUUGAUUCAAUAUUAUAAAUUUAGACCAAAGUCUAACUGAGUACUUGACAAGUGCUAAAUCCAAACUCAAUUUCUUCUCCACCUCUGUCAAAACCAUUUCUAAUAUACUAAAGGUAGAUUAAAUUGCAAAAAAGACCUAAAACAAGAAAGUACACAACAUAGGCAGAAGUGAAACAUCCAAACACAAAUAAACACAAGAGUUUAUUCUUCAUCUUCCUCGUCUCCAUCACCACCAGCUGCUUUCUUUGCAGCAGAUUUCUGGUUCUUUCGCUUCACUCUUCCAGGGCGACCACCACCGAAAGGACUGGUGAGAGAGAAGUCAAUGUGCUUCUGGGAGUCCACUCUCACCAUGAAAGAAGCAACGUUCACCACCUGCCUACCAACUCUGAUAUGCCUUUGUCGAAUGAGCACUCUAGCAUGGUGGAUUGACUUGGCCAUGCCAGUCUUGAAGACGAGGGUUUGGAGACGACGCUCAAGAAAGUUCUCCACAGUGAGGGCCAAGACAUAAUCAAGCUUAUUCUGGCUCUCAUCCAAUAAUCCAUAUCUGUUCAUUCUUCUCAAGAGUGCUUCACCUUCAAAAAUACGGCGUGGAUCUUUCUCAUCCAAGGUCAGAAGCAUUCUUGCAGCAUUUCUGAUACGGCUCAAGGCAUACUGAACUCUCCAAAGCUCU
rnacentral:misc_RNA from 1 species